rnacentral:rRNA from 1 species
AUUGAACGCUGGCGGCAGGCCUAACACAUGCAAGUCGAGCGGAUGAAGGGAGCUUGCUCCUGGAUUCAGCGGCGGACGGGUGAGUAAUGCCUAGGAAUCUGCCUGGUAGUGGGGGAUAACGUCCGGAAACGGGCGCUAAUACCGCAUACGUCCUGAGGGAGAAAGUGGGGGAUCUUCGGACCUCACGCUAUCAGAUGAGCCUAGGUCGGAUUAGCUAGUUGGUGGGGUAAAGGCCUACCAAGGCGACGAUCCGUAACUGGUCUGAGGAUGAUCAGUCACACUGGAACUGAGACACGGUCCAGACUCCUACGGGAGGCAGCAGUGGGGAAUAUUGGACAAUGGGCGAAAGCCGGAUCCAGCCAUGCCGCGUGUGUGAAGAAGGUCUUCGGAUUGUAAAGCACUUUAAGUUGGGAGGAAGGGCAGUAAGUUAAUACCUUGCUGUUUUGACGUUACCAACAGAAUAAGCACCGGCUAACUUCGUG